CCUACGGGCGGCAGCAGUGAGGAAUAUUGGUCAAUGGGCGCGAGCCUGAACCAGCCAAGUAGCGUGAAGGAUGACUGCCCUACGGGUUGUAAACUUCUUUUAUAAAGGAAUAAAGUGAAGUACGUGUGCCUUUUUGUAUGUACUUUAUGAAUAAGGAUAGGCUAACUCCGUGCCAGCAGCCGCGGUAAUACGGAGGAUCCGAGCGUUAUCCGGAUUUAUUUUGUUUAAAGGGAGAGUAGAUGGGUUGUUAAGACAGUUGUGAAAGUUUGCGGCUCAACCGUAAAAUUGCAAUUGAUACUGGCAGACUUGAGUACAGUUGAGGUAGGCGGAAUUCGUGGUGUAGCAGUGAAAUGCUUAGAUAUCACGAAGAACUCCGAUUGCGAAGGCAGCCUACUAAGCUGCCACUGACAUUGAUGCUCGAAAGUGUGGGUAUCAAACAGGAUUAGAUACCCUUGUAGUC
rnacentral:rRNA from 1 species